UCGACGCAUAAAUAAAUAUUAAUCCGUAUCAAAACUAAUAUGUGCUAAUAUGUUUCUUUGUGCGGGGUGUAGUAAAUGAGAGCCGCUUCCUUUAAAAUUAAACCGGAGAGGAUUUAGUUGACCGGAACCUGGUUCGCUGUUCGCUCAUUGUCAUCGUCAACGAAAAAUUGGCAAAAAAUGUGUGGUGCACGGCUGCGGAAGCCGAACCGGAGAUACGGUUUCACUUUACGGAUUUCCGAACGAUCCUGGCACGUUAACGCAGUGGCUUCAUUUCUGUGAUCAGGUGGAAAUGCGUGAAGCAGGACAAAGCAAGGAUGUGUUCAAGUUCCGGCAUGUAUGCUCAAGGGUUUGAGAGGGCAGCAUUUAAGAAUCCAUUGAUCGUAUCUUAAGGAUUAAAAAAGCAUGCGGUUCCCACUAUCAAAACGCUGAACCCCACCGCAGUGGAGGACAACGUAUUGGAUUACGAGUCACAGUACAUCGAACUUUUAAGCAGCGACAUGACCGUUGAUACUGGUGUUGUUGAAGAAGAAAUAGAUUAUGAAAAUGGAGACGAUGGAUUGCAGCAAGGAUCCGCUGUUUGCUUCUGUGCUACUGUGCUAUGCUACUGUUAGUGCAGGGUGUUGAAAAUCGGGGAACAUCCGACAACAAGGAAAAUCCGCAACAUCCGACAACGACAUCUGGAAACAAGUUCUUCCGAUACUCGUCUUAAGACACGAUUCGGAUCUUCCAGCACCGAAAGCAGGAAAUUAGAAAAACCUCCUGCUAACUGAGAAGAAAUAGCAGAUACUAAAAGUCCGUCGUUGUAUUGAGACGGAUCGGUCUCCACAUUUUACAUCGGGUGGAAGUUGCUCUUUUGAGCACUGUUGAAGAGGAGGUCAUGGAAGUCAAUCAUGAUAUAUGACGGUUCACCCGGAACCAAGAAAACAGUUAUUGAUCAACCCACUGCGUUAAUUUCAUAAUAUGACUUGUACUGGCACCACAACCGUCAGCAGACGAACUACAGUUGUCGGAGUAUUUCCCAUCACAACAGCGUCCAUAGUUAUCGAGCGAGUGCUCGAUAUUUGCUUCAUAUUUACCAGGGAACACCGGAAUUACCAGACGUCAUGUUGCUUCAACACAAAACACCAUCAUAUUUACAUUAUCCGUUAGUCGAUCAGCAGUCGCACGAGCUGGUCCUCACUGGCUCUGAUGUCACCAACCCUCCGUCACAUCUUCCUGCACCCGAUAUCAAACGUAGGUUCCAGUAACACUUGCUGCUGAAAUCUAAUUAUCCGUGCAACCCUUGUCUAUGAUGAUAAGGAGCAGCUGAGAGGAG